GACGAACGCUGGCGGCGUGCUUAACACAUGCAAGUCGAACGGAAAGGCCCUGCUUUUGUGGGGUGCUCGAGUGGCGAACGGGUGAGUAACACGUGAGUAACCUGCCCUUGACUUUGGGAUAACUUCAGGAAACUGGGGCUAAUACCGGAUAGGAGCUCCUGCUGCAUGGUGGGGGUUGGAAAGUUUCGGCGGUUGGGGAUGGACUCGCGGCUUAUCAGCUUGUUGCUGGGGUAGUGGCUUACCAAGGCUUUGACGGGUAGCCGGCCUGAGAGGGUGACCGGCCACAUUGGGACUGAGAUACGGCCCAGACUCCUACGGGAGGCAGCAGUGGGGAAUAUUGCACAAUGGGCGGAAGCCUGAUGCAGCAACGCCGCGUGCGGGAUGACGGCCUUCGGGUUGUAAACCGAUUUCGCCUGUGACGAAGCGUGAGUGACGGUAAUGGGUAAAGAAGCACCGGCUAACUACGUG
rnacentral:rRNA from 1 species